UACGGAGGGAGCUAGCGUUAUUCGGAAUUACUGGGCGUAAAGCGCACGUAGGCGGCUUUGUAAGUUAGAGGUGAAAGCCUGGAGCUCAACUCCAGAAUUGCCUUUAAGACUGCAUCGCUUGAAUCCAGGAGAGGUGAGUGGAAUUCCGAGUGUAGAGGUGAAAUUCGUAGAUAUUCGGAAGAACACCAGUGGCGAAGGCGGCUCACUGGACUGGUAUUGACGCUGAGGUGGCGAAAAGCGUGGGGGAGCAAACAGGAUUAGAAACCCCGUG
rnacentral:rRNA from 1 species